AACGCGAAGAACCUUACCAAAUCUUGACAUCCUCUGAUCCCUCUAGAGAUAGAGUUUUCCCCUUCGGGGGACAGAGUGACAGGUGGUGCAUGGUUGUCGUCAGCUCGUGUCGUGAGAUGUUGGGUUAAGUCCCGCAACGAGCGCAACCCUUAAGCUUAGUUGCCAUCAUUAAGUUGGGCACUCUAAAGAGACUGCCGGUGACAAACCGGAGGAAGGUGGGGAUGACGUCAAGUCAUCAUGCCCCUUAUGACCUGGGCUACACACGUGCUACAAUGGGCAGUACAACGAGAAGCGAACCCGCGAGGGUAAGCGGAUCUCUUAAAGCUGUUCUCAGUUCGGACUGCAGGCUGCAACUCGCCUGCACGAAGCUGGAAUCGCUAGUAAUCGCGAUCAGCACGCC
rnacentral:rRNA from 1 species